CGCGCCCGCUGGCGGCAGGCUUAACACAUGCAAGUCGAGCGGGCAUCCUUGUGGUGUCAGCGGCAGACGGGUGAGUAACGCGUGGGAACGUGCCCUUCGGUUCGGAAUAACUCAGGGAAACUUGAGCUAAUACCGGAUACGUGCGAGAGCAGAAAGGUUUAUCUGCCGAAGGAUCGGCCCGCGUCUGAUUAGCUAGUUGGUGAGGUUAUGGCUCACCAAGGCGACGAUCAGUAGCUGGUCUGAGAGGAUGAUCAGCCACACUGGGACUGAGACACGGCCCAGACUCCUACGGGAGGCAGCAGUGGGGAAUAUUGGACAAUGGGGGCAACCCUGAUCCAGCCAUGCCGCGUGAGUGAUGACGGCCUUAGGGUUGUAAAGCUCUUUUCUCCGGGACGAUAAUGACGGUACCGGAGGAAUAAGCCCCGGCUAACUUCGUG
rnacentral:rRNA from 1 species